rnacentral:lncRNA from 1 species
UUGAGGGGUAUCCCCAUGCAUGAUUUGUAAAGUUCUUUAACCCCGUGAAGUUGGCAAUUUUUUCACCAAUCAGCUUUCCUACCAGGCUUCCUUUACACUCAGAGACUCCUUCUGCCAAGUCCUCACCACUCAGAUCGACACCUCCUAACUCUGUUUCAGACAAGUCGAAAUUUUGGAAGGCUCUUUCUAAAGCAUCCGCCAUUCCUGUGACUUGAGCUCCUUGAGAAACCAAGCACUAUUUCUGAGCUAUGAGAGACCCACUGACAGACCUGUGAAGAAAAACAAGGACAGACAAAGCGGUGUUAUCCGUACCCACUAAAAACCAACCAGAAGACAGAGAGGCACUUGACAGGAAAAGCACAGGCACAAGAAAAAAUGAGAAGAAAAAAAGAAAAACCAAAACAAACCACUAUCCCACUACGACCACAUUACAGCAAUAAAGAAAG